CAUGCAAGUCGCACGAGAACGCCCGGGCUUCGGCCGGGGCAAGUACAGUGGCGGACGGGUGCGUAACGCGUAGAUCACCUGCCCUCAGGCGCGGGACAAUCGCGGGAAACCGCGGCUAAUACCGCACGACGUCCGGAUCCCGCAUGGGAACCGGAUGAAACCUUGGGGUUACCCAGGGGCCUUUGGAUGGGUCUGCGUCGGAUUAGCUUGUUGGUGAGGUAACGGCUCACCAAGGUAACGAUCCGUAGCUGGUCUGAGAGGACGAUCAGUCACACUGGGACUGAGACACGGCCCAGACUCCUACGGGAGGCAGCAGUGGGGAAUCUUGCACAAUGGGGUCACCCCUGAUGCAGCCAUGCCGCGUGGAGGAAGACACCCCUAUGGGGCGUAAACUCCUUUUCUGAGAGAAGAACCCCCUGUAGGUUCAGGGUGUGACGGUAUCUCAGGAAUAAGCACCGGCUAACUCCGUGCCAGCAGCCGCGGUAAUACGGAGGGUGCAAGCGUUGUCCGGAAUCACUGGGCGUAAAGGGUGCGCAGGCGGGGCAGCAAGUCGGAGGUGAAAGCCCGUGGCUCAACCACGGAAGUGCCUUCGAAACUGUUGCUCUUGAGUCCCGGAGAGGUUGCCGGAAUUCGUGGUGUAGCGGUGAAAUGCGUAGAUAUCACGAGGAACACCAGAGGCGAAAGCGGGCAACUGGACGGGUACUGACGCUCAGGCACGAAAGCGCGGGGAGCAAACAGGAUUAGAUACCCUGGUAGUCCGCGCCGUAAACGAUGAAUGCUCGCCGUUAUUCCGCUUAAGGAAUAGUGGCUAAGCUAACGCGUUAAGCAU
rnacentral:rRNA from 1 species